UACGUAGGGGGGCGAGCGUUGUCCGGAAUCAUUGGGCGUAAAGCGCGUGUAGGCGGCCCGGAAAGUCUGGUGUGAAAUCUUGAGGCUCAACCUUAAGCUGUCACUGGAUACUGUCGGGCUUGAGUCCGGAAGAGGAGAGUGGAAUUCCUGGUGUAGCGGUGGAAUGCGCAGAUAUCAGGAGGAACACCUAUGGCGAAGGCAGCUCUCUGGUACGUGACUGACGCUGAGACGCGAAAGCGUGGGGAGCAAACAGG
rnacentral:rRNA from 1 species